rnacentral:rRNA from 1 species
UGCAAGUCGAGCGAAUGGAUUGAGAGCUUGCUCUCAUGAAGUUAGCGGCGGACGGUGAGUAACACGUGGGUAACCUGCCCAUAAGACUGGGAUAACUCGGGAAACCGGGCUAAUACCGGAUAACAUUUUGAACUGCAUGGUUCGAAAUUGAAAGGCGGCUUCGGCUGUCACUUAUGGAUGGACCCGCGUCGCAUUAGCUAGUUGGUGAGGUAACGGCUCACCAAGGCAACGAUGCGUAGCCGACCUGAGAGGGUGAUCGGCCACACUGGGACUGAGACACGGCCCAGACUCCUACGGGAGGCAGCAGUAGGGAAUCUUCCGCAAUGGACGAAAGUCUGACGGAGCAACGCCGCGUGAGUGAUGAAGGCUUUCGGGUCGUAAAACUCUGUUGUUAGGGAAGAACAAGUGCUAGUUGAAUAAGCUGGCACCUUGACGGUACCUAACCAGAAAGCCACGGCUAACUACGUGCCAGCAGCCGCGGUAAUACGUAGGUGGCAAGCGUUAUCCGGAAUUAUUGGGCGUAAAGCGCGCGCAGGUGGUUUCUUAAGUCUGAUGUGAAAGCCCACGGCUCAACCGUGGAGGGUCAUUGGAAACUGGGAG